UUUUUGCGGUUUUGUUGGUGUAAUUAAAUAUAAAAAGGCUUAUAAAAAGUUCAUUUAACGUUUCAAAUAGUUUUGUUAAAACCAAUUGAAGCUCUAUAAUGCGGUGUAUAAUUGAUGGCUGUAAUAGUGAUCUGACGAUUCCUUUAUCCGAAGGAGGGACGUCCAGUCAUAGAUUCCCUCAAGAUAAAAUUAGAUUGAAGCUGUGGCUGAGCUCCAUACAAAUGUUCACUGGAAAAACACUUUCUGAGGUGGAUAUUAUUAGCAGUACAAGAAUAUGUGGCAAACAUUUUCGGGAGGAGCUCAUAGAGCAUUCCUAUGAUCAAAGAGCUUUUCUAAAAAAGACAGCUAUUCCCAUAAUAUUUCCUAAAACAGUUUUGACUGAAACAGAACAGCUCGAGUUUUUAACCGAUUUUCUGGAGGAUUCAACACAACAAGAACAAUCAUUAUCAUCGGAAAGGUACUUUGAACAGGGCUAUAGAAGCAAACCUCGAAGCAAACAAUAAUUAUAAAAUGUUUCAGACGAAAAAUUGUAAAUGUUAAAGAUAUAGAGAAAAUACACAAUUUGUCAGCGAAGGAAGCAUUGGUUGCUGUGCCAAUCUUGAAAAAAGCUCGAAUGGCGCAAAAAACUAAAUACAGAGCCAAAUCGAAAGUUUUACAACAAAAAUGUCGCCGAUUAAAGUCUCGUGUCCAAAGUUUAGAACAAUUGUUAAUUGCA